GUGGAGUGGGAUUUGUGUUGUAUCUUGUCUGAUCACAAGCUAUGUUUAGCGGGUGUAUAAGUUAGGCUACUCUCAGUUAUUAUAUGAUCUUGAUAUUUGAACACAUGAAUUACGCUGAAUUAUGUUGGUACAAUGACAGAAUGCUGCUGUGAAGUUGAGUAGCCUCUUGCUUGGAGAACUUUAAGACCUCUGGGACUUAAGUGGGCAUGCAGAGUGCUGUGGUCAGUGUCAAAAUGUGACAUGAUUUUCACUGAUUUAACUUGUCCUUCAUGGCCCAGGUAUGGGUAGGCCUGUCAUGGGAGGCGGAAAAAUGGCCAGCAGGAAGGUGUGCAGCAGCCACCGGAAUGACCUCUUCCACCUCCUCCACUAACAGCUCCUCAUCAGCCGGCAGUGGGAUGGGAUCCUGAAGGGCCAUGUUGCAGAAGCGACGUCACCAAAACUACACUGCACGCCUUUGCAGGAUGGAGCUUCAGGCCACCAGCGGAUUUGCUCACACACCUUUCCACAUGCCCAGGGCCCUCUCCACAACAACGCGGGUCCGGCUAUGGGCGUUGUUGUACCGCGCCUCUGCCUCGCUAUUGGGCUCCUAGAUGGAGCAGUUGACAUGCUUGUAUUAUCAUAGGGGGUUGAUGGAAUAAAGUAGGUCUUGAAAUGUCA